GUGAGGAGAGAGUUAGAGCUUGUUGGCUGUGCUGCAAGGAGUUGCCCAUGAGAAAUCACUGAGAAGGACAGUCUCUUGCCUCAAAAAUCUGUUCUUCAAGCCAGAACAGGGUGGUGGACCCAGAAGUAUUCCUCAGGAAUAGAAGAAUUUACUCCAGGGAUGUUUUCAGAAGAAGCCAAGUCAGUGACUGUGAUGUUCUGGGGUGAAGAUUCAUAAGGCACAACUUCAGGAAACUUCUGUGAAUGUCCUACAGCACUGAUGUAUGACUGGAUGGGCCAAACAUUGCCCAGUCAAAUUCUGUACUGGAAGAAAUCCCACUGAAGAAAUUCCAAUGAAGUUAGAUCAGCAGGAGGUUUGGUAUUUCACAAGGGUGCUUGCUUGCUAGAGUGUUUGUGGAAGUGAAGAGAAAGGAGCUGAAGGAAUUUAUCAGGAGAAAGAGGAGGAAAAAUGAAGACAAUCCAAGGAACACAGAAAUCUGUACAGACCAAGGAUAAGUUAUACUUGAAAUGUAAGGAAAUUGUGGCUUCUGGGAGAAAGGACUUCACACUUUGGCUACAGACUACAUGGAAGGGAAUGCAGAAGUGUGGAAUUUUAAAGCAGAUUCAUGCCAAGCCUACACUGGGCAAACAGUGUCCAACAUAGUGUUUAAAGUAUGUUCCCAGCUUGGUGGUGCUCGUGGAGAAAUACUGCUGGAAAUCAUGCAUAUGGCACAUUGCCCAGCCAGUGUGGUGCAGAUGUAUAAGGAGGAGUCCUCCAGGACUACUGAAAGGUGCUUUUUGCUGUCCUGUGAAGAAGAUUAAACCUGCUUUUACUGGCUCCCUUGGACAGUAUGGGAGUUUCCUUGGGAUGAUGAAGGUGCUCAGCAGAGGUACUGAAUGAAGCCAAGUGGGAUGAUUCUGUCUUGUGUCUCAUUGCCUCACCUGUCACUGCUCUCUUGGUGUUUUCUCUCUGUUCCUCCUUUCCUGGAGAUUUUACAGAGCAGAGCAGAAAACAUUUCUGAAGAUUUCAUCCCUGCUCAUCUUUAUUAACUAUGGUGUCAAGUCCUGCCUGGGGUCAAGGAGCAGUGUUGUGACAAAAAGACAGGCUGGAAACCUAGGAUCAGUCUGGGAGCUUUGGUGUGGAAGCAUUAUUCACUUCCAGGUUGUGGAAAUCUCCCCACCAAGGACUUCCUUUGACUCAAAAUAAAAUGUACCUGUUUCUGGUAGUUGAAUGCUGUAUUUAAUUUCAUUCUUCUGAUUGACAUAAAUUCUUGAAAUAAAACUAUCUUGAAACAAGAUGUCUUAAGGUUACAUUUAUGAAUUGUUAAACCACAUUCUAAACAAAUAAAUCACACUAUUUUAAAAAGUGUUACAGAAAUAAAGUUCAUAUUUUCUGGA